UACGUAGGGUGCAAGCGUUAAUCGGAAUUACUGGGCGUAAAGCGUGCGCCAGGCGGUUAUGCAAGACAGAUGUGAAAUCCCCGGGCUCAACCUGGGACUACAUUUGUGACUGCAUAGCUAGAGUACGGUAGAGGGGGAUGGAAUUCCGCGUGUAGCAGUGAAAUGCGUAGAUAUGACGGAGGAACCACCGAUGGCGAAGGCAAUCCCCGUGGACCUGUACUGACGCUCAU
rnacentral:rRNA from 1 species